UACGGGGGGGGCAAGCGUUGUUCGGAAUUACUGGGCGUAAAGGGCUCGUAGGCGGCCAACUAAGUCAGACGUGAAAUCCCUCGGCUUAACCGGGGAACUGCGUCUGAUACUGGUUGGCUUGAAUCCGGGAGAGGGAUGUGGAAUUCCAGGUGUAGCGGUGAAAUGCGUAGAUAUCUGGAGGAACACCGGUGGCGAAGGCGAGUCCCUGGACAACUCCUGACACUGAGGCACGAAAGCUAGGGGAGCAAACAGG
rnacentral:rRNA from 1 species